rnacentral:rRNA from 1 species
CCUGCGGAAGGAUCAUUACCGAGUGAGGGCCCUCUGGGUCCAACCUCCCACCCGUGUUUAUCGUACCUUGUUGCUUCGGCGGGCCCGCCGCAAGGCCGCCGGGGGGCAUCUGCCCUCUGGCCCGCGCCCGCCGAAGACACCAUUGAACGCUGUCUGAAGAUUGCAGUCUGAGCAAUUAGUUAAAUAACUUAAAACUUUCAACAACGGAUCUCUUGGUUCCGGCAUCGAUGAAGAACGCAGCGAAAUGCGAUACGUAAUGUGAAUUGCAGAAUUCAGUGAAUCAUCGAGUCUUUGAACGCACAUUGCGCCCCCUGGUAUUCCGGGGGGCAUGCCUGUCCGAGCGUCAUUGCUGCCCUCAAGCACGGCUUGUGUGUUGGGCUCCGUCCUCCUUCCGGGGGACGGGCCCGAAAGGCAGCGGCGGCACCGCGUCCGGUCCUCGAGCGUAUGGGGCUUCGUCACCCGCUCUGCAGGCCCGGCCGGCGCUUGCCGACACAUCAAUCUUUUUUCCAGGUUGACCUCGGAUCAGGUAGGGAUACCCGCUGAACUUAAGCAUAUCAAUA